rnacentral:rRNA from 1 species
AAGGCCUUCGGGUUGUAAAGCUACUUUUGUCAGGAACGAAACGGACUUGGUUAAUACCUGGGUCUAAUGACGGUACCUGAAGAAUAGGCACCGGCUAACUACGUGC